rnacentral:rRNA from 1 species
GACGAACGCUGGCGGCGUGCUUAACACAUGCAAGUCGAACGGAAAGGCCCUGCUUUUGUGGGGUGCUCGAGUGGCGAACGGGUGAGUAACACGUGAGUAACCUGCCCUUGACUUUGGGAUAACUUCAGGAAACUGGGCUAAUACCGGAUAGGAGCUCCUGCUGCAUGGUGGGGGUUGGAAAGUUUCGGCGGUUGGGGAUGGACUCGCGGCUUAUCAGCUUGUUGGUGGGGUAGUGGCUUACCAAGGCUUUGACGGGUAGCCGGCCUGAGAGGGUGACCGGCCACAUUGGGACUGAGAUACGGCCCAGACUCCUACGGGAGGCAGCAGUGGGGAAUAUGCACAAUGGGCGGAAGCCUGAUGCAGCAACGCCGCGUGCGGGAUGACGGCCUUCGGGUUGUAAACCGCUUUCGCCUGUGACGAAGCGUGAGUGACGGUAAUGGGUAAAGAAGCACCGGCUAACUACGUG